UAUCUGCAAGGGAAGCGUAGAGGAGAUACGGCUGCUGUGUUGACCUUUGCUGGCGCCUGAUAAAAUCCAGGUAUUCAUCAGCUUCCGGUGUGAAAAAUACGUCAAGUAGAGCAAAGAGGGCAGAAGGGUGGAAAAAAUGAACUCACCUGGGAGGGACUUAACCUGUGUCUUUCAGCAUUUGGGAAGUAAAGAGGAUCAGCCGCUUUUAGGUUGUAGCAGGCAGUGAAAUGCAACUUGGGUUGCCCAAGAUGACCUGUUUUCCAGGACCAGUUGUGUUUCCAUCCACCUUGAGCUGGCUUUCCUUUCCUUGAGUCAGGGCUCCAGAGCGUAAGAUGCUACGAAGUCCUACUUGUGCUCCUGAGACAACCCAACCUGGUCACAUCUGAGCACCCACCCAUGUGUUGCUGAGGUUCUGCUCUUGCUUUCCAGGCCGCUUCAUCAAUUCUGUCUGCAGCCCUGAAUUCAUCCCUGGAUAAACAUCUCUUCCAGGGACUGAGCAAAUGCAAAACCAAAUUGCACCCUCCUAGUUCCUGCACAAGAGAAGCAUUCUCUAAAAAUGGAGUUCUACAUUUUCUCUCCAGCCUUUGGCUGUAGUAAAGAUUUGAAUUCAUAUAAACCCCAUGGAGAAGGAGAAGUACUCACUGGGAAGAUGUCCCGGAGGCAAUCUUUUCACUUAGUUUUACCUAAAGUGACAGAACAAGAAAAAACAAUGAAUUUAUGAUUCGAUUUCUGUCUUGCCUUUAUUUUUGUAUGACUCAAGAUGGCAUACACAAUGCUCUCACCUGCG